UACAUGGGGUGCAAACGUUGCUCGGAAUUAUUGGGCGUAAAGCGCGCGUAGGCGGUUACUCAAGUCGGAUGUGAAAGCCCUCGGCUUAACUGAGGAAGUGCACCCGAAACUGAGUAGCUAGAGUACCAAAGAGGGUCGCGGAAUUCCCGGUGUAGAGGUGAAAUUCGUAGAUAUCGGGAGGAACACCGGUGGCGAAGGCGGCGACCUGGGUGGAUACUGACGCUGAGGCGCGAAAGCCAGGGGAGCAAACGGG
rnacentral:rRNA from 1 species